rnacentral:rRNA from 1 species
AUUGAACGCUGGCGGCAGGCUUAACACAUGCAAGUCGAGCGGGGAAAGGUAGCUUGCUCCCUAACCUAGCGGCGGACGGGUGAGUAAUGCUUAGGAAUCUGCCUAUUAGUGGGGGACAACAUCUCGAAAGGGAUGCUAAUACCGCAUCCGUCCUACGGGAGAAAGCAGGGGACCUUCGGGCCUUGCGCUAAUAGAUGAGCCUAAGUCGGAUUAGCUAGUUGGUGGGGUAAAGGCCUACCAAGGCGACGAUCUGUAGCGGGUCUGAGAGGAUGAUCCGCCACACUGGGACUGGGACACGGCCCAGACUCCUACGGGAGGCAGCAGUGGGGAAUAUUGGACAAUGGGGGGAACCCUGAUCCAGCCAUGCCGCGUGUGUGAAGAAGGCCUUUUGGUUGUAAAGCACUUUAAGCGAGGAGGAGGCUACCGAGAUUAAUACUCUUGGAUAGUGGACGUUACUCGCAGAAUAAGCACCGGCUAACUCUGUG